rnacentral:tRNA from 2 species
UGGGGCAUAGCCAAGUGGUAAGGCAGCGGGUUUUGAUCCCGCGAUUCCCAGGUUCGAAUCCUGGUGCCCCAGCCA